rnacentral:misc_RNA from 1 species
GAUGAAGAACGCAGCAAAAUGCGAUAAGUAAUGUGAAUUGCAGAAUUCAGUGAAUCAUCGAAUCUUCGAACGCACAUUGCGCCCGCCAGUAUUCUGGCGGGCAUGCCUGUUCGAGCGUCAUUUCAACCCUCAAGCACAGCUUGGUGUUGGGACUCGCGUUAAUUCGCGUUCCCCAAAUUGAUUGGCGGUCACGUCGAGCUUCCAUAGCGUAGUAGUAAAACCCUCGUUACUGGUAAUCGUCGCGGCCACGCCGUUAAACCCCAACUUCUGAAUGUUGACCUCGGAUCAGGUAGGAAUACCCGCUGAACUUAAGCAUAUCAAUAAGCGGAGGA